CUUUAAGUUAUAAAGAUUAAACCUUACACAUAAAGUAAUAAAUUAUAAUUACUAUAAACUUAACUAAUAUUUUACACUCAUACAACUUUUUUAAUUUUCAAUUCUAAUUUAAAAACCUUAACCUCGUACUUCUUUUUUUUUUGAAAAAGGGCAUAACCUCGUACUUUAAAGCUAAACCUCAAAUUGUAAUCCCCAAACUCCAAACCCUAAAUAAUAAAAGAUAACCUUCGACACUUUAAAUCAUUGUAGUUAAAAUCAUAAAUAAUAAACAAAACGUAAUCACUAAUUUUUAACAAAAAAUAUAAUCACUAAUUAUAUACAAAUACUUUAAACAUUUACAUAUAAAACUUAAUAAAUUUUAUUUUU
rnacentral:lncRNA from 1 species